rnacentral:rRNA from 1 species
GUCCACGCCGUAAACGAUGAUAACUAGUUGUUCGGGCACUUGGUGCCUGAGUGACGCAGCUAACGCAUUAAGUUAUCCGCCUGGGGAGUACGGUCGCAAGAUUAAAACUCAAAGGAAUUGACGGGGGCCUGCACAAGCGGUGGAGCAUGUGGUUUAAUUCGAAGCAACGCGCAGAACCUUACCAGCCUUUGACAUCCCGCGCUACCUGGAGAGAUUCAGGGUUCCUUUCGGGGACGCGGUGACAGGUGCUGCAUGGCUGUCGU